AUUGAACGCUGGCGGCAUGCCUUACACAUGCAAGUCGAACGGCAGCACGGGUGCUUGCCCCUGGUGGCGAGUGGCGAACGGGUGAGUAAUACAUCGGAACAUGUCCUGUAGUGGGGGAUAGCCCGGCGAAAGCCGGAUUAAUACCGCAUACGAUCUACGGAUGAAAGCGGGGGACCUUCGGGCCUCGCGCUAUAGGGUUGGCCGAUGGCUGAUUAGCUAGUUGGUGGGGUAAAGGCCUACCAAGGCGACGAUCAGUAGCUGGUCUGAGAGGACGACCAGCCACACUGGAACUGAGACACGGCCCAGACUCCUACGGGAGGCAGCAGUGGGGAAUUUUGGACAAUGGGCGAAAGCCUGAUCCAGCAAUGCCGCGUGUGUGAAGAAGGCCUUCGGGUUGUAAAGCACUUUUGUCCGGAAAGAAAUCCUUGGCCCUAAUACGGUCGGGGGAUGACGGUACCGGAAGAAUAAGCACCGGCUAACUACGU
rnacentral:rRNA from 1 species